rnacentral:tRNA from 2 species
GGGCCUGUAGCGCAGUUGGGAGCGCGCAUCAAUGGCAUUGAUGAGGUCACCGGUUCGAUCCCGGUCAGGUCCACCA